rnacentral:tRNA from 1 species
UCCUUCGUGGUGUAGUGGUCAGCACGCUUGACGCGUAUUCGAGAAGUCUGGGGUUCGAGUCCCGGCGAGGGCA